UACGUAGGGGGCAAGCGUUGUCCGGAAUCAUUGGGCGUAAAGCGCGUGUAGGCGGCUCGGUAAGUCCGCUCUGAAAGUCCAGGGCUCAACCCUGGGAUGCGGGUGGAUACUGCCGGGCUCGAGUCCGGAAGAGGCGAGUGGAAUUCCCGGUGUAGCGGUGAAAUGCGCAGAUAUCGGGAGGAACACCAAUGGCGAAGGCAGCUCGCUGGGACGUGACUGACGCUGAGACGCGACAGCAUGGGGAGCAAACAGG
rnacentral:rRNA from 1 species